UACGUAGGGCGCAAGCGUUGUCCGGAAUUAUUGGGCGUAAAGAGCUCGUAGGCGGUCUGUCGCGUCUGUUGUGAAAACUCGAGGCUCAACCUCGGGCUUGCAGUGGAUACGGGCAGACUAGAGUGCGGUAGGGGAGACUGGAAUUCCUGGUGUAGCGGUGGAAUGCGCAGAUAUCGGGAGGAACACCAAUGGCGAAGGCAGCUCGCUGGGACGGUACUGACGCUGAGGCGCGAAAGCGUGGGGAGCAAACAGG
rnacentral:rRNA from 1 species